rnacentral:rRNA from 1 species
GAUGAACGCUGGCGGCGUGCCUCAAACAUGCAAGUCGAGCGGGGCUAUGUAAUAUCGCAAGGCAGAACAUAGCCUAGCGGCGAACGGGUGAGUAACACGUGGGUAACCUGCCUGGAAGACAGGGAUAACGAUUCGAAAGGGUCGCUAAUACCUGAUAAUAUCCUUUCAUCGCAUGGUGAUAGGAAGAAAGGGGAAACCCGCUUUCAGAUGGGCCCGCGUCCCAUCAGCUAGUUGGUAAGGUAAAGGCUUACCAAGGCGACGACGGGUAGCCGGUCUGAGAGGAUGUACGGCCACACUGGGACUGAGAUACGGCCCAGACUCCUACGGGAGGCAGCAGUUGGGAAUCUUAGGCAAUGGACGAAAGUCUGACCUAGCGACGCCGCGUGAGGGAAGAAGGCCUUCGGGUUGUAAACCUCUGUCAUGGGGAAGAAGGAAGUGACGGUACCCAAGAGGAAGCCCCUGCUAACUACGUG